rnacentral:lncRNA from 1 species
AUCAGGUUACAGAAUAGAGUGGUGUUCACGCUCUGUUUCUUCUCUCACUCAUUCUUUGUCAGAGAAGCCUGCUACCUGUCUAAGCCGCCUAGAGAAGCGUAUGUCGGAAGGAACUGAUGCCUGCUCAGUAGCUCGGUCACAAGUGAAGCUGGGGAGAAGCUUAAAAUGAAGUUCUCUUUGCACAGCCCCAUUCAGGGCCUUCACUGCCGAUCGUACAACAAGAUCCAGAAUUCAGGAGUCUUCCCCGCAAAGGCCAGACUGAGGCUCUUAACCUGCAGAAAUUAUAGGUGUAACACUUGGUGGUGUCCCUUCACUUCUCCUAAAGAAGAAUGUGUGAGAGGUCAAGAAUAGACCUGGACUUAAGGCAUAUGGAAACCUUCCUGAAUGAAAUGAAGGAGACAGCAGCAGAGUAGAAGAAAUUGUCCUUCACAACAGCCUGAUCUGAUUAUCAUUCCUCAGAAUGCAUUUUAACUCUGUAAUAUCAUGUUACUGAACUAACAUGUUAUCAUAAUUUCCCUGAAGAAAAUAAUGUGCAUCAUAAUACCUAUUUUCAUCGUGAGAUGAAAAAUAUUAAAAUGAGACGCCAAGCA